CGCGGGGUGGAGCAGCCUGGUAGCUCGUCGGGCUCAUAACCCGAAGGUCGUCGGUUCAAAUCCGGCCAUCGCAACCA
rnacentral:tRNA from 1 species